UUCAACUGAGGAACACAAAUCACUCAGCGGAAAUAGAACGUUAGUUUUUGGUUUGUAUAACGUUAUUAGAACGUUUCCCUAACAUCUUUGUUCCUAUAUGAUUACUGUUAUUAUUUCUCUAUUUUAGUAAAUGCUGCAUUAAACGAAUUUCAGGGCUCUGCAGGACAUUACACACAAAAAAAACAUCUGUAACGUUUUCAUUGGAAAGAUAGUUUUACAGGGUUAUAAAAAUAACCUGAAUAGGGAAUGUUCUGUAUAAGUUGUUUUUAGGUUAUUUUAAAAAUAACCACCCUGCAAUGUUCUAGGAAUGUUAUUU